CCGAGGCACCAUCUUUACAACCCAGUUGCUAGGAAACUAACAUUUGAUCACAUGACAAGGAAUCGAUGGAUUUCACAAGAAAAUCAAUGAGUAAAUGAAGAACUCUUGAAGGAAAAGUGAAUCGUGGAUGAGUAACAAUUCAGUUCAGCAGCUGGAAGUCUGACCUUCACGGCGCUCAGGACGGCGGACAAUUAGCAAGACAAGCGGCGGCCCUUUUCCUCUGAUGUCCCACCACUGGUGUCACCGGCGUGGACGAGACACCAGGAGACAGUGAACCCCGUGAUCCGACAACUUUAAGCGACAUUUCAACCAGAGUGGGCGGCACUGGCUAAAGUGUCUUGCCCAAGGACACAACGGCAGUGACCCGGAUGGCGGAAACGGGGAUCGAACCUGGAACCCUCAAGUUGCUGGCACGGUGUGUCACGUUUGACGUCGUAAUUGUGUCUUUAUUACCAAAGCUGUUUUUUGACACUGAAUUUUGUGCGUGGUAAUUUUAGGAACUGAAUUUUUUUUUUUUUUUUUACAUCCAAUUUUGCUUUCAUUGAACAAAGUCAGUGUUUUAAAAGUCAGUGUAAGAAAAAACAGUGUAUAAAUAAUCAGUGUGUAAAAAUUAUGUGUAAAAAAAACGUCAUUGUAAAAAAAAUCAGUCUACACAAUUCAGUGUUAAAAAAAAAAAAACGGUUUUAAAAUUUAGUGUAAAAAAAAAAU